GUAGUCGUGGCCGAGUGGUUAAGGCGACAGACUUGAAAUCUGUUGGGAUAUUCCCGCGCAGGUUCAAAUCCUGCCGGCUACG
rnacentral:tRNA from 1 species